AGUCACUGACAUUAGACUACCCCCGUAGUCCCAGCCGUAAACUAUGCGCGUUAGGUGUAUCGGUGACCACGAGUUACCGAGGUGCCGAAAGGGAAACCGUAGAAACGUGCCGCCGUGGGAAGUACGGUCGCAAGGCUAGAAACUUAAAGGAAUUGGCGGGGAGCACCACAACAGGUGGAGCCUGCGGUUUAAUUGGACUCAACGCCGGGAAGCUCACCGGAUAGGACAGCAGAAUGAUUGCCGGGCUGAAGACCCUGCAUGACUAGCUG
rnacentral:rRNA from 1 species